UGUACCCUGAAGAUCAUCCCUCUGUGUCUCUUAAUUGAUGGCAAAAUAUCUCCCAAGAAGUCUUUGGCCCCCUGUGUUGGAGGAACACACAAAUUCACUGUCAAGUUACCAGUGCAGACCAGCCCAGGGUGCAGCUGGGAGCACUGGUUGUACUGGUGGACUGAACCUGCUGUGUGUUCAGAUGCCACAGGCUGCAAGAAUGAGUGCUUGUGAUUUUCCCCUGCUCCGCUGCUGCAGUGUGGAGAACCCAAUACCAAACUGGCAAAGGGGAGAGCAGGGGAAGGAGCCAGGCCACGAGGCUGAGCCAGUGCUUAAAGAACUCAUCUUGGCUUUGGAGCAGGAGCCUCCUGCCAGUGACAACUGCUGGAGGAUGGCAGCUCAAAAUCCAGCAAAUGGAGCUAGAAAAGUUGGUUUAAAGCGCUGUGCAUCUGCUGGUCUCAUCUCAUUCAUUUGGGUGUCAUGUUUGUGGCUGGCCGGCUUUGAUGGAGCUCAUUUAUACAGAACAGACUGCUGCUUUUGUGAUUUUCAGGACAUCUGAUGCACUCCUGCUCCCACAGAAAAGUGGAUAUUAAAUUCCAUGGAUGAGAACAUGUGAGAGGACCAGAGAACAGAAUGGACAAACAAGGAAAGA